rnacentral:lncRNA from 1 species
AGCAUUGCAGGAAAGGGCUGCGGUGGUGGUGGGGGAGGGGGUGCUGCGGCGGUGAACUGCGAAUCGCGAGGGGAGGAGAGCUACGGUAGUGGUGGUGGUGGAUCACGUGAAAAGGGCUGCGGCAGUGAUGGCGACGCCGCGAAUUGCGACGAGAACAGCGAUGCGGUGGUGACGAGCUGCAAAUCGCGACGAAGAGGGCGCUGUGGUAGUCAGCGGUGCCGCGAAUCGCGACAAGGGCAGGGGUGUGGCGACGAGAACAACUCCGUUCCUCUCUUCUCUUUCUCUCUCCCUCUACUCUUUCUUCUCUUGCCGUUAGUGUGAGUUUGUGCUCAGGAAAAAAGGAGCAGCGGCGAGGAAGCAACAGUGGUGCCGAGGAGCAGCGGCGGCACGGAGAUUCUCU